rnacentral:rRNA from 1 species
GAUGAACGCUGGCGGCGUGCUUAACACAUGCGAGUCGAACGGUAACGGCGUAGCUUGCUCUGCUGGAUCAGUGGCGAACGGGUGAGUAACACGUGAGCAAUCUGCCCUUGACUUUGGGAUAAGCGCUGGAAACGGAGUCUAAUACUGGAUACGAGCUGCGAUGCCAUUUUCAGCAGCUGGAAAUCAGUUCGGUCAGGGAUGAGCUCGCGGGCUAUCAGCUUGUUGGUGAGGUAAUGGCUGACCAAGGCGUCGACGGGUCGCCGGCCUGAGAGGGUGACCGGCCACACUGGGACUGAGACACGGCCCAGACUCCAACGGGAGGCAGCAGGGGGGAAUAUGGCACAAUGGUCGAAAGCCGGAUGCAGCAACGCCGCGGUAGGGACGACGGCCUGCGGGGUGUAAACCUCCUUUAGCAGGGAAGCAGCGAAAGUGACGGUACCUGCAGAAAAAGCGCCGGCUAACUACGUG